rnacentral:rRNA from 1 species
UACGUAGGGGGCAAGCGUUGUCCGGAUUUAUUGGGCGUAAAGAGCGUGUAGGCGGCCAAGCAGGUCCGCUGUGAAAACUCGAGGCUCAACCUCGAGACGUCGGUGGAAACCGUUUGGCUAGAGUCCGGAAGAGGAGAGUGGAAUUCCCGGUGUAGCGGUGAAAUGCGCAGAUAUCGGGAAGAACACCCGUGGCGAAGGCGGCUCUCUGGGACGGUACUGACGCUGAGACGCGAAAGCGUGGGGA